rnacentral:sRNA from 1 species
AAUGCUGACGUGGAGCUGCAGCAGCGAGCCGUGGAGUACCUCACCCUCAGUUCGGUGGCCAGCACCGACGUUCUGGUCAGAGCCCUGUCACCCCCACCCCACCCCCCGGCACACCCCCUUCCCGCCCUCCCCUCCUCCUGACCCGAACUGACCUUCCCCACCCCGACCGCGCCAGGCCACGGUGCUGGAGGAGAUGCCGCCCUUCCCCGAGCGCGAGUCGUCCAUCCUGGCCAAGCUGAAACGCAAGAAGGGGCCAGGGGCCGGCAGCGCCCUGGACGAUGGCCGGAGGGACCCCAGCAGCAACGACAUCAACGGGGGCAUGGAGCCCACCCCCAGCACUGUGUCGACGCCCUCGCCCUCCGCCGACCUCCUGGGGCUGCGGGCAGCCCCUCCCCCGGCAGCACCCCCAGCUUCUGCAGGGGCAGGGAACCUCCUGGUGGACGUCUUCGAUGGCCCGGCCGCCCAGCCCAGCCUGGGGCCCACCCCCGAAGAGGCCUUCCUCAGGUAGCACCCCCUGGGCCCGGGCCCCUUCUCGCGGCCACCCCCGGGGCUGUCCCUUCUCGGCCUCUGUCCCCGUUUUCCCUGAGCCCCUCCCCAGCCCCCUACUCGCUCCUCUCUCCAUCCCGAUGCCUUCGCCAGCCCUGGCUGCUGCCUCCCCUGCCCCAGCCUCCCUGCUCACGCCCUCCCUCUGCCACUCUGGACUCCGCCGACACUGGCCACCCUUCGUUGUCUCCUUUCCUGUCACCGUUUCUCAGCCUGCUCUUCCUUUUCUCCUUCUCUCCUUCCCUCCUCCCUCCCUCCCUCCCUCUCUCCCUCCCUCCCUCCCUCUCCCUCCUCCCUCCUCCUCUCCCUCCCUCCCUCCCUCUCCCUCUCUCCCUCUGUCUCUCUUCUGCCCUCUUGCUGCCUAUCUGGGAUUGGCUGCCUGCCACGCCUGUCUUCUCUUGUCUGCUCUGGGAUUGGAUGGCCCAGCGAGCUGGAGCCGCCUGCCCCCGAGAGCCCCAUGGCUUUGCUGGCUGACCCAGCUCCAGCUGCUGAGUAAGGGGUGGCCUGGGGUGGGAGGUCGGGGGGCAGACUUGGGUGUCCCCAGGGAGAGUUAGGGUACUGGGAGCCCUCGUCAACGGGUUCCUGAUGAGCAGCAGAGGCAGGGACUUGGAGGAAAGGGAAACUUGGUGUCUGCCGAUGCGGGGGCACGGGCCAGAGUUCUAUUCGCAUUGGAGGCCACUGCUGGAUGGAUGCGAGGUUCCUCGAGGCUCCGUGAGGAGUCUGGAUAUGUGGUUCUGGGGUUCUGUCCUUAGGGCUUGUUCUCGCACUCAAUCGCUCUGGGCCUUUGCCCCUCCCCACCAAGUCCCUUCCCAUCUCACUCCGCUCCCUACCUCCAGCCCAGGUCCUGAGGACAUCGGCCCUCCCAUUCCGGAAGCCGAUGAAUUGCUGAAUAAGUGAGUCCUGGGAGAGGUGGGGGAGGGGAACGGGGACAGGUGCGGAGCCUAGGCCAGGUGCAGACAGGCACCCCCCGUCAUCCUGCGUCCCCUGCCACUCCCACCCAGGUUUGUGUGUAAGAACAACGGGGUCCUGUUCGAGAACCAGCUGCUGCAGAUCGGAGUCAAGUCAGAGUUCCGACAGAACCUGGGUGUGUCCCGGGGGACUGUGGGAAUGGGUCGGAGGGAGACCUUGGGGAAGGGGUCAGAGGGACUCAGAUGGAGCUCUGCCUCCCCCACCUACUGCAGGCCGCAUGUAUCUCUUCUAUGGCAACAAGACCUCGGUGCAGUUCCAGAAUUUCUCACCCACUGUGGUUCACCCGGGAGACCUCCAGACUCAUAUCCUGUCAGGCCCCGCCCGGCCUCCUGCCUCUCCAGGUCGGCCUUCCUCACCGUGGGGAAGCCGGCUGACCCAUGUCCACACUUCUCUUCAGCCUCUCCUGGGCACGCAGUUAGUUCUCUGAGAUUCAGUGUCUGCAUCUGUAAGAUGGGGGGUGGGAUUCCUUCCCCCAGGACGGGAUGACAGUGAAGUGGUGUGUGGGAGGCAUUAUUUCCAGAACUCCACCUUGCUGCAGGCCUCAUUUUGUCCCUGUCUGGCACCUUCUGUGUCCUGCCAUCGUCCUCCACUGGGCUCCAUGUCAUGAUGCCAGCACCUCCUGCACUCAGGAGUCAGGCCUGCGGGUCCCAGACGCUGAUCAGGCCUGAUCUGGGCUGAGUCACUUUGCCUCUCUGGGCCCUCCUGUCCCCGCUGUGACGUGUAUGUAGACCCUCCUCUUCCUCAUAGGGUUAUUGAGAAGAUCAGAGUGUCUGGAAAACCCUGGAAGGGCGGCUGGAGGUAUCAGUCCCCCCUGCCCCUUCUCUGGGCCUCCAUUUCCACAUUCAUGAAAUUAGAAAAGCUUGACUCGAGAACUCCUUCUGGCCGGGCGCGGGGGCUCACACCUGUAAUCCCAGCAGUGGGAGGCUGAGGCCAGUGGAUCAUUUGAGGUCAGGAGUUCAAGACCAGCCUGGCCAACAUGGUGAAACCCCAUCUCCACUAAAAAUACAAAAAUUAGCUGGGUGGUAGUGGUACGCGACUGUAAUCCCAGCUACUCAGGAGGCUGAGACAGGAGAAUCGCUUGAGCCUGGGAGGUGGUGGUUGUGGUGAGCCGAGAUUGUACCACUGCACUACAGUCUGGGCGACAGAGUGAGACCCUGUCUCAAAAAAAAAAAAAAACAAUGAAAAACAAAAUUCCUUCUUCGGUCGGGUGCGGUGGCUCACGCCUGUAAUCCUAGCACUUUGAGUGGCCGAGGUGGGUGGAUCACGAGGUCAGGAGAUUGAGACCAUUCUGGCUAACAUGGUGAAACUUCCAUCCCUCUGUCUCUACUAAAAAUACAAAAAAUUAGCCGGGCGUGGUGGCGGGCGCCUGUAGUCCCAGCUACUAGGGAAGCUGAGGCAGGAGAGUGGCGUGAACCCAGGAGGCGAAGUUGCAGUAAGCUGAGAUCGCGCCACUGCACUCCAGCCUGGGCGACAGCACGAGACUCCGUCUCAGG